UACAGAGGUCUCAAGCGUUGUUCGGAUUCAUUGGGCGUAAAGGGUGCGUAGGCGGCGCGGUAAGUCGGGUGUGAAAUCUCCGAGCUUAACUCGGAAACUGCAUUGAAUACUAUCUAGCUAGAGGGUUGGAGGGGGGACUGGAAUUCUCGGUGUAGCAGUGAAAUUCGUAGAUAUCGGGAGGAACACCGGUGGCGAAGGCGGCGACCUGGGUCGAGACUGACGCUGAGGCGCGAAAGCGUGGGGAGCAAACAGG
rnacentral:rRNA from 1 species